rnacentral:tRNA from 1 species
GCCACCGUAGCUCAGUUGGUAGAGCGGCGCAUUCGUAAUGCGUAGGUCAUGGGUUCGACUCCCUUCGGUGGCU